GAUGAACGCUGGCGGCGUGCCUAAUACAUGCAAGUCGAGCGAACGGACGAGAAGCUUGCUUCUCUGAUGUUAGCGGCGGACGGGUGAGUAACACGUGGAUAACCUACCUAUAAGACUGGGAUAACUUCGGGAAACCGGAGCUAAUACCGGAUAAUAUUUUGAACCGCAUGGUUCAAAAGUGAAAGACGGUCUUGCUGUCACUUAUAGAUGGAUCCGCGCUGCAUUAGCUAGUUGGUAAGGUAACGGCUUACCAAGGCAACGAUGCAUAGCCGACCUGAGAGGGUGAUCGGCCACACUGGAACUGAGACACGGUCCAGACUCCUACGGGAGGCAGCAGUAGGGAAUCUUCCGCAAUGGGCGAAAGCCUGACGGAGCAACGCCGCGUGAGUGAUGAAGGUCUUCGGAUCGUAAAACUCUGUUAUUAGGGAAGAACAUAUGUGUAAGUAACUGUGCACAUCUUGACGGUACCUAAUCAGAAAGCCACGGCUAACUACGUGCCAGCAGCCGCGGUAAUACGUAGGUGGCAAGCGUUAUCCGGAAUUAUUGGGCGUAAAGCGCGCGUAGGCGGUUUUUUAAGUCUGAUGUGAAAGCCCACGGCUCAACCGUGGAGGGUCAUUGGAAACGUGGAAAACUUGAGUGCAGAAGAGGAAAGUGGGAUUCCAUGUGUAGCGGUGAAAUGCGCAGAGAUAUGGAGGAACACCAGUGGCGAAGGCGACUUUCUGGUCUGUAACUGACGCUGAUGUGCGAAAGCGUGGGGAUCAAACAGGAUUAGAUACCCUGGUAGUCCACGCCGUAAACGAUGAGUGCUAAGUGUUAGGGGGUUUCCGCCCCUUAGUGCUGCAGCUAACGCAUUAAGCACUCCGCCUGGGGAGUACGACCGCAAGGUUGAGACUCAAAGGAAUUGACGGGGACCCGCGCAAGCGGUGGAGCAUGUGGUUUAAUUCGAAGCAACGCGAAGAACCUUACCAAAUCUUGACAUCCUUUGACAACUCUAGAGAUAGAGCCUUCCCCUUCGGGGGACAAAGUGACAGGUGGUGCAUGGUUGUCGUCAGCUCGUGUCGUGAGAUGUUGGGUUAAGUCCCGCAACGAGCGCAACCCUUAAGCUUAGUUGCCAUCAUUAAGUUGGGCACUCUAAGUUGACUGCCGGUGACAAACCGGAGGAAGGUGGGGAUGACGUCAAAUCAUCAUGCCCCUUAUGAUUUGGGCUACACACGUGCUACAAUGGACAAUACAAAGGGCAGCGAAACCGCGAGGUCAAGCAAAUCCCAUAAAGUUGUUCUCAGUUCGGAUUGUAGUCUGCAACUCGACUACAUGAAGCUGGAAUCGCUAGUAAUCGUAGAUCAGCAUGCUACGGUGAAUACGUUCCCGGGUCU
rnacentral:rRNA from 1 species